GUUCUUGAGGCGAGGUGCAAUUCCUCACCGGUGGUAAAGCCCACGAGCAUCAUUUUGAUGUUGAUUUGGUGUAAUUCCAAAGCCGACGGUAUAGUCCGGAUGAAAGGAG
rnacentral:ncRNA from 1 species